AUAGCCCCUGAUUAGUAUUUAGUAUUUCCCACAUUUGGUUAAUAACCCAUGUCUAUGAUCAUAAAAGCAAACAAUAGUAUUUCCCCUGGUAACCUCUCCUUGAUAUAUUUCUCUUUUCUUAUUAAUACAAAAUUUAAACAAGGGGAAUGACGGUGACUUUUUAUAGAACGUGGCAGACACUUCCGUAGAAUUAAGAAUGAAACUUGUUUCCUAAAUAGUUUGACUCUGAGGAACUAAUAAACAUGUCACACCUUAUAAAUGAGCAUUAGUUUAUUUUAUUUUUUUUAAAAUUAUGAAUUCACAUGUCACACCAUGUCAAUAAGGAAAUAUGAAUUAACAUGUCAUACCAUGUAAAUGAGUAAAUCAGCAUUUUUUUUUCCCAACAUAUGUUCCUUUUUUUUUUGGUUUCUACAUUUUCUUCCAAAAUAACUAAAUGAUUUAGCAUGAUCAAAAAUUUUUUUAUCCCCAACCUACGCACCCAUUUCUGAUGUCAAUGAUAUUUGAAUCCAUAACUUUUACAAUAUUAGCCAAGUCAGCUGAUCAACAAGGCAUGACUCGGCCACAUGAUCGAUAUUUGAUAAGUUUUAAACACACCCCUAAUUACUUAAUACACACUCCUUACUCAAUACACCUACCAUUUAAUUUCUCAUCCUAAUAUUUUACUAAAUACACAACCCAUAUUACCUCAAAUAUCCUUAAACAAAAAAACCAUGAAAUACACUAUUAUUUAACUACAUUAAGGCUACUAUUUAAUUUGAUUAGUAUAUAUUAACAUAUUAAUGUUUUAUAAUUGACCAUAUUAAUUACUUGUGUUAGUUAUUGGGAAAUCCCAGUGUAGAGAAAAAAGGGCCGCCCAGGCCGCCUAGGCGCUGGGCGGCAGCAAACCGAGGAUAUUAAUGGCUAAACGGAUGCCUUAGGCUGAUAGGAUUUAGGCGGCCGUCUAGGUGGCCUGGGCGUCCGUCUGGGCGGUCUGGGUGAUCUGGGCGGCUAGGUGGUCUGUGUUGCCGACGCCGGAGCGCUUGGUUUCUGAAAUUGAUCGAGUCAAGGAAAGACGAUGCAAAUUAGCAUAAGAGAGCAAAAAAAUCAAAAUUUACAGAAGCGAAAGAGCUUGGAAUACUUGUGAGGGGAAAUCUAGGGUGUCUUUGGGGAGUGGAGGUGGUUUGUUUUGGAGGUGGUCAUGGUGGUGGAUUUGAUGGGGAGCCUUGUGAGAAGGUGGCGGUGGUGGCCGGAGAGUGAAGAGGUUAAGGACAUCGAAGCAGAAGAGGAAGAGUGGUAACCCUAGAAGAAUGAUCUGGGCGUGAUCCAUGGCCUUUGCUUCAGAGAGAGAGUUGGAGACUACGAAGUGCCCUCUUCUUGACUAAUGAGAUGAAAUUAUUUUGACCUCAUGACCAUUUGGGCACGUGACUGGUGAGAAAUACUACUUGGGCUCAUUCUAUGAGCCAUUACCGAAUUGAUUUUUGUUUUCAGCCCAAAUUAGCAUUUUGUAUCAUCGGUUCAAACUUUCAUCAAAAGAAAAAUGGGUAAAAAAAACUAAAAACUUUUGUAAAUAAAAGCUAUAUAAUAAAAAUUAAAAUUAAGAAAUACAAAAUCGCUUAGGCGCUGCCUAGGCUUCUGGGCGCUAGUCCCCUGGCCACCGCCCGACUAGCGCCUAGCGAUUUUUCGAACCUUGGGAAAUCCAUAAGGAUUCAUUAUUGUUCCCUUCAAAUAGAUGCUUAAAAAUAUAUUUUGUUUUAUUUGAGUUCUCAUCCACCAAACACCAUAUUGAUCAAAUAUAAAAGGGCUUGUGAUGACCUGGAUUUCUGUUAUUUAAUUUUGGUAAUUAAUAAUGGACCAGUUGUACGAAUAAUUGUUAUUGUGCUUUAUUCGUAGAUUGUAUGUGAAGUGGAAUGAUUUUCGUCCGUAUAAUUAUUUGAAUUUCACAGUUUAAGGGGUCGUGUGAAGUUUGACUUUUUGGUACGUUGGGAUUCUCGGGAAACUUCCUUCAUGAAAGCUGUAGAGCGCGUCGAUACGAGUUCGUGGACAUGCGGAACGCGGGAAUCAGAGUUCGUAUGAGAAAGAUAUGGCUAUCGGAAGAAUUUUCCGUUUUAGUAUAAAUAGAGAAAAUCAGAAAUUAUUUUCACUAUUUCAGUUUCCAUUUCCGGAAACCUUUUUUUCUCUCUCUUUUCUCUCUCGGUCGAUACCUUCACUAUCUGAGUUUUCCGUCUGACCCGACCCGAACCCGGCGGAUCCGACCCGACUUUUCCGGCGAACUGCGGCGGUCUCCGGCGACGAAAACUCUCCAGAUCAGUUCGCCUCCUCCGUCUGGUCGUCCCUCUGGUGUCCUCUAGCUCCGAUUCUCCUCCGCGGCGGCGCUGCAAGGCGGUGCAGUUGGGUGUUUUUGGACCCGAUUGGUUUUCCAGCUUCCAACGUCGGCGGCGCUUCAACCUUGGCCUAGGGAGUUCGCAGCAGCCUCCUUGUGCGAUCUGUGGUGGUUGUUUGGAAGGAUUCACGUGAAAACUCGAUCAACUCAGUUUGGAUUACUAUUCACGACUUGUGAGGUACUUGACGAAGUAUUUGGACGGUUAAUUGGCGGAUUGGCCGCUUUGUUCUUGGUUGAAGACGCAGCGGGAAUUCGAGGUGGUGACAGGUUGUAGAUGGCGACCUUGAUGUUUGAUUUCAUGAUCAGACGGGGUCUGAAAUCAUAUGUCACAGAUGGUGACAGGUCGCAGAUGGUGACCAAGGCAGGAAAUAGGUAAUCACGUCCUUGGUGAUUACGAUUUUAAUAGAGCUCUAGUCUGUCUGCCAUGAUAGCUUAUGGGAGUAACGGUCGAGGUUGCUGGAGACUCAUAGGGGUUAAUCUUGCAGGUCAGGAAAAUCGUGGCUGAAGCUGAGGUAGCUUGUUGGCAGCAGAACGGGUAGGAAGCAAAUUUUGUUGGCUUUGCCAGUGUAUGACUUCCGCUAUGUAGUAAGCUCUGAGGAGCAUUUACGUUUUAAUUUGUGAUGACAAUUUAAUUCGUAAAUUUGUGUAAUAUAUAACUCUGUGGAGCGAGUGUAUAUUAACUUGGAUUGGUUCAGGGCAUCAGUAUAUACUUGUUUUAAGGGAAAGAUGUUCCAGGUAUUUGUAUUGAUGACUGAACGUUCACGCAUGUAUAAUUAUGAGAUUAUAUAUAUCGAUUUUUAUUUUUGUUAAAAAUCAGGGGCGUGACAGGGCUAAAUACUAGUUACUACCCUGUGAUUUAGGUCCAAAAUCAAUUCAGUCCCUGUACUUCUAAUUUCAUCAAAAACACCCCUGCACUUUCAAUUUUGAUCUAAUAGGUCCAAUCUGUUCAUCUUCUGAUAAUUGAGUCAUUUAACUUGUUGACGUGGCUCAUAUAUGGCUUAUGUUUUAUGAUGUGGUGUUGAGGUGGCAUGCAUAGUCAAUUUAGGAGUGAGUCUCACUAUUAGAAAUCUAUCAAAUAAAAAGUUUUUCAACAAAUAAUCCAACUAUAAGUUGAACCCAUAACUGAAUAUUAACAAAUUGGACCUAUUAUAUCAAAAUUGAAAGUACAGGGGUGUUUUUGAUGAAAUUAGAAGUUCAGGGACUGAAUUGAUUUUGGACCUAAACCAUAAGGUAGUAACCAGUAUUUAGCCCAAUAUAAAAUUUAGAGUCGAACAUUCAACUAAAAUUGUAUCAGUAGUUUCUCCACAACGGCGGAACUACGAAACUGUCAUUGGAUGGUCAAACAAAUUAACAUUUACAAAGUUUUAUACCUGUGAUGUUUUAUAUUAGAUAAUAAAUUGACUAAUCAUAACUUUUAGAAAGAAAAAAAACUAAAAAUGGGAGUAAAGCGAUUUGUUUUAAAAACAUUUAAUGCCACUGAUUUUGAAAUUCUAAAUAUAUGGUUUCUCACUCCAUUUAAUUACAAUUUAUUUAAGAAAAAUUUACAUUAGAUGGUUUAUAACUUUAUUCUUGUUUUAAAUGAGGAUGCAUGUAUAGAAAUUUAUUGUGUUUAUAAUUAUAGGAUUAUAUAAGGAAUAUAUGAUUAUUAUUAUUUUUCUUCUAAUACAUAGAUAUCUAUUUUAGUCAUUUAAUCUAACUAUAAAAUCUGAUUUGAAAUAUAAAAUAAUAGAGAUGUGUAUUAAAUAGUUUGGAGUGUGUAUUUAAAAUUUCUCUGAUAUUUUCAUGGAAAAAAAAACACAUGAUUACAACAUAUAGACAAGCAACAGACAAAAACAAAGAAA